AUUGAACGCUGGCGGCAUGCCUUACACAUGCAAGUCGAGCGGCAGCACGGGUGCUUGCACCUGGUGGCGAGUGGCGAACGGGUGAGUAAUACAUCUGAACAAGUCCUGUAGUGGGGGAUAGCACGGUGGGAGCCCGGUUAAUACCGCAGACGAUUUACGGAAGACAGCGGGUGACCUACUGACCUCGGGCCUUAGGGUUCGUCGAUGCCUGGUUCGCUAGUUGGUGGGGUAUAGGCCUACCAAGGCGGUGAUCAGUAACUGGUCUGAGAGGACGAUCAGCCACACUGGGACUGAGACACGGCCCAGACUCCUACGGGAGGCAGCAGUGGGGAAUUUUGGACAAUGGGCGAAAGCCUGAUCCAGCAAUGCCGCGUGUGUGAAGAAGGCCUUCGGGUUGUAAAACACUUUUGUCCGGAAAGAAAUCCUUGGCCCUAAUACGUGCGGAGGAUGAUGGUACCGUAUGAAUAAGCACCGGCUAACUACGUG
rnacentral:rRNA from 1 species